AACAAAUAUCUACAGAGAAGGGAACAAAAGAUUGGGAAAGAAAGACCUUAAAGAAAGUAUUAAAAAAAGAACUUGAUAAAAACUUUGUCAAAGCAAUCUACUUUGAUACUUUCUUUCUGAUCACACUUGAAACACUGUUUCCAUUGAAGUUACAACAACCACAAAUCCUGAAACGUAUUACAGCUCUGAUAGCUCACAAAAUGUGGCUCAACACAAUCUCUUGGCAAUUUGUACGUAUUUUAUUUUAAGGUGUUUAAUUCAUAUAUUUUUCUAUUUUAGUAUGAUUCAGCCCAGUGACUUUGGGUUUAGGGGCGGAAUUUGUAUUAAUACUUUCCCUCAUAAUUACAGCUUUGAUUCAGUUUGUACAACUUCAUACAAAUUAGCCGCCUUGUAAAAUAUGUAGGAAUUCCGUUGAGAUAAGGUUGAACAGGUCUUUACAUUAGGAAAAAAAUCCAAACCAAGUGGCACCUUGGCAUCAGAAAUCAUCUAUGUGUAGAUUACAGUAAUACAGUUUUUGACGCUUAAGUAAAAUAACCUUCAUAUGACUUCAUGAAUCAGACAAAAUCACGCUUUAAACCUUUUCCAGUGGAUCUUUGAGUUGCUCAAACCUUUUUUUAGAUGUUGUAAUGAUGACCUGCACUCUUGUGAAGUAAUGCGAGUAAAAUUACACAAUAAUAAUUCAUAAAAAAAAAUCGUCGUAAUUUUACGGUAAAAUGCUGGCAACGGGGUUUCCAGCAGUGCACCGUAAUUUUACAGUUUUAUUACUGUAUUCUAAUUUACGGCUGUUCUGUAAAUUAAUGGUAAAAUGCCGCAAGCAUGUUUCAGCUGUGUACCGUAAUCCUACGAUUUCAUUACCGUAUUCUAAAUUACGGUUGUUCUUAAAAUGUAUGUUAAAAUACUGGCAGCAGGGUUUUCCAGCUGCAUACUGUAAUCCUACUGUUAAAUUACCGUAUUUUGAAUUGCCGCUUUGCAAUUAAAUAAUAGAAUGGCAAAGAUAAGAUGAGGAACUUUUAAUGGACCCUUUAAUGGACUUUAUUUAUAUUAAAGGAGUUAUGCAGUCCAAAACAGACGUUUACUGUAGUAAAAAAAAAAGCAAGACAACAUGGUUAAUUUUCAUAAGAUUAGGGUCCUUAAAGGUAUGAUGUAGGAACACAUCUAGGAUUUUAACUGUUCUUUGCGAGAUGUUAACUUUGAAUUGGAACUGUACUUGGCCAUCUACUGAUGACGUUUCAAAAGUAUUCAGUCUUUAUAAUACAUGUCCAGACAGAAAAUGCAUAUUAAUCAGUGGCCAACACAUACCAGUCAGUAAUUUCGGUACACUUCCUCCCCCCACACCCACCACUCAUGCAACCAUUUACGGCAAGAAACUGUAAUUUUAUAAAACAGUUCAGUACCGGAAAAUUAGGCCGUAAAUUUACGGAAAAUAUUGCUUUGUCGUGCAAGAAAAUAUGUACAAUAAACAUGCAUACUGCAUUUAUGAACUGGAAGAAAAUAAAUACUGAUCUGGUCCAAACAUUUUAUAGGAGACUUUUUAUGAUGUAAAAUAAAUCUUUGGUGUCCCCAGCGUAAGUAUGUAAAGUUUUAGCUCAAAAUAUCAUAUAGAUAAUUUAUUAUAACAUGUUAAAAUGGCCACUUUGUAGGUGUGAGCAAAAAUGUGCCAUUUUGGGUGUGUCCUGUUAAAUGCAAAUGAGCUGAUCUCUGCACCAAAUGGCAGUGCCGUGGUUGGAAAGUGCAGAUUAAGGGGCGGUAUUAUCCCCUUCUGACAUCACAAGGGGAGCCAAAUUUGAAUGACCUAUUUUUUCAAAUGCUUGCAGAGAAUGGUUUACCAAAACUAAGUUACUGGGUUGAUCUUUUUCACAUUUUCUAGGUUGAUACAAGCACUGGGGACACAAUUAUAGCACUUAAACAUGAAAAAAGACAGAUUUUCAUGCAUGAUAUAUUGACCCUGUAAAUGCUUUUAAAUGCAAAAACAAACACUGUUAGAAAUGAAAGAUAAAGUUAAAAAUGAACUCAGGGUCAACACAUGCUGUUGUUGGUUGGCACAAAAUUAAGAUUUUCUCAAGGAAAUAAUUGUGAAAAGAAUUUUUAAAGAAAUAUUGGAGAGAAUGUCUGUACCCAGUGCCCUGUGACUUAGUUUUAUUACUGAAGCCAAAGGAAAGGAAACAAUUGUGCCUGCAGCUUAAUAUCCUCCAAAGAGAGUAUGUAUUGUUAAAAAAGAUACAGCUGCAACCCGGUCUGAAACUUUACUAUACGCAAGUUAUGAUUACCUAUAACAAUGAUAUACACAAGACAGAUCUUUCACCGGUCCUAGCUAUCUUCUAUGUUGUAGAAACGGUAACCCGGUACACCUGUAGCUUUUGACUUGUAGCUUUUACUGUAAGAUUUAUUGGUUAGCUCUAAUCUUUAUUACUAAUGCAACUACAUUGCAGAUAUUCCAAUUGUGUCACAUAAGAAUAUUAUUACAUGUUUAUAACAUGCAUGGUAAAAAUAUUCCAAAACCAGUAAUUGGGUAUUGCAUGCGACGUCGUGAACACAUAGUCAGAUAUCACAAUGUAUAUUUACAUGGGAAGAAUUAAUUGUAUCUGCACCCCCCCCUCCUCACAUGCAUUAACAUGCACAUUCUAUAGUAAUGCAUUACCAGCAACACACACACACACACACACACACACACACCUCACUAUUGUUUCAUCAAUAAGCUUUACUCCCAGACUUAUUUUAACCCAUAAAACAUGGCUAGCAUAUUAAUAAGGUCUUCUAGUGUGGCCAUCUCUCUCUCUCAUUGAUACCGGAGCUUUCUGAUUGGAUAAUAGAGUUACUUCAUAUGACCAAUAAGGGAGGACUGCACCUUUUCUUCUCCUAGCAACAGCAGCGACUCUUUCCUUUCAGAACGACAAACUCACACCCGUAAUAUUACAAUAUGAAUAACGGCAGAUUCACAGUUGUGUAGAAGAGAGCAGGAAAGCAAUAAGUUGCUCUCUCUCUUCUGCCAUCUUGCUCUGCGUCGUGCAACCCCUGCUGGCUUCUCCCUCCUCUCUGAUUCGUUUUUCUCCCUCCCGGUUCAUCCUCUGUCUGGUCCCAUUUUCAUCUCAUCUUUGGCUCAUCUCUCUUUGUUGCUGGUACUCAUUUUCUUAUUUUUUUAUAUUACCUUCAUUUGACUCUUUCCCCGUACCCCACCCCCCAUCUCCCUCUCUCUCUCUGGGCUAACUGUGAGUCUCUGGUAGGGACACACACAGCCGGCUCCUGUUUCAUGCUCUUAAAGAAGCAGCAUGUUUUUCGUUUGACUGAAGGACUAUGCUGAAGGAUUCUGGGUAAAGCAUGCACUCGUUGACCCACAGAGAGGGAGCGGUACUGCACAGGGAGUCGCUGUGGAGCAAACAUCCCACCAAAAUCUCUCCUAUACAGACACACACACACAACCUUGCACACGGUUACAGAACAACCUAUAGUACAGGACUGCCUAUAAGUUAAUCUCUACAUUAACAUAUAUAUAUAUAUAAGCUAUAUAAAUAUAUCACUAUUGAGCAUAUAGGUCUACAUUAGCAAUGUCAGUCAUGGUAAUUGAAGAGUCAACAUCUCACUUGAUUUUAUUUAUUAAAACAAAAUAUAUAUAUUUAAUUUGUAAAAUGGAGGUUACGAUAAAAUUGUCUCAGUGGUCUGAAUUGUUCUGUGAUGCAUGUAAAUCCACAACUGGAUUUUGUUAGUAGAUUCAUUAAAUAAACCAAAACCAUACAAAAUCGCAUAGAUGGUUUGUUUUUGUAAAAUCACAAUGCUGAAAGUGUUCAUAGUUUGUUAGGCUAAAGCUUUACUUAACAAAAACUGUUGGCAACCAUGUGUGAAAAUAUCUUAAUAGCUUGAAAUAUCCUGCUGUGUGACUGUAGUGUCCUGCAGUUUGACAGACAAUACUCCAACAAAAAAUCAUUUAAACAGCUUUUCUUGUUUUAUUUUGUAAUUAUGCACGCAGUUUUAUAACAUAAUGUUCAGCGAUUACACUAAAAUAUGAAUUAAUUAAACUCAGUGCGGGAUCACAUCAUAAUAAAGGAUGUAAAAUGGUGGGAAAAUUAAACCGUCCUUUAGCCUUAAUUAUGAUACAUUUAAGACAUUUAUGCUAGAUGUCUUCUACUACUAAAACACUUAUGUAUUGUGUAAUAUAUAUAUUUAUAUUUACCUUCAGAGUAAAAUGUAUUAAUUGUAAUCAUCUAUUUUGAACUUGCGAUUCAAACUUCGCACUUUGCUGUUCAGCCCCACCACUCAACCUCAACUGACCUCUCUCUCUCUCUCUCUCUCUCUCUCUCUCUCUCUCUCUCUCGCUCUCUCUCUCUCUCUCUCUGCUCCAGAGGAAUUCUGCCGCUGGGCUUUUUAAUAUUCCCUGUGCUUCGGUGCGGCCCGGCCAAAGCGGGCUGACACUACAGAUUAACCACAGACAGAAGGAAUGCCGCGGUGCUUUUGUGCCACGUGGAGAGCCGCCAACCAAACGCCUUUGGCCAGGUUGGACCGUAGGAGAUCUCUGAAAAGAAGAAAAGUGGGAACAGAACCGGGAACAAGAGAGAAAGCAAAAGACAGAGAAACAGAGAGAGUUCAAGUCCUGAAUUGAAAGUGCUCUGGCUUAUCUAUUCUCUCAGAGACAAGGAGGCAUCAUUGGGGUGUCUGUGGAGUGAGAGAGUCCAUGCAGGGAGGGGUUAGAGACCCACUGGCGCCAGCAGUAUGUCCUUAGACACCUGGCAUUUUGUUGGUGGUCAGGGUUACUAUGGCAACCCGCCAAGAUUUUGCCCGGGUCCCAGAGGCAAUUCUGGACUGCACAGGUGCAUGUGUCUAUUAUUUUACACAUUCAAUAUUGUUUAAAAUGUGAACUAGUAAAUUAUUUCACAUUUAGAUUACCAAUUGUCCAUUUCUGGAGGAUUAGUGAUGCCCAAAUUAAUUUUCACAUGGUUAUUUGCCCCAAAGAAAAUGAAGUUGUCGUCACUGACAACAGAAGAAUGAGAGACAAAGACGGAAAUACAUAGUGUAUAAGCAUAACAAAUUAAAACACAAAAAUAAGAAAAGGUAGGAAAUAAGAUAAACAGAAAUAUAAAAAGAAAAAAUAGGGGAAGAAAGUAAAGAAUAGAAAAGAGGGAAAGUAAGCACAAUGAGGAAAAUCUGUCUCAUUCAGAUUAGCACAACUGAGGGAGGCACUUUUUAAAAAGGGGAAACUGCAGCGUUAGAGUGAAGGUGGAGAAAAUGAAAAGAAAAGUGAAGAAGUUAGAGGAGAAAGAAACAAAGACUGUAAAAAGAAAAAAGGUAAAGGGAUUGAAAAUACAUGUGGUAUUUGGCAAAAUUAGAAGGCUGUUCAAUCAUCUAUGCUAUAUAUAAAUAUUUUAGGCAGAUAUGGGAAGAGAAAGAGAGAA